GGGUCAGUAGGUUGGUCGUGCCACCGGUACGUACUGGUCUCACUGAUUCCUCCUUCCUGACGAACCGUAAUGCCAUUAAUUUGGUGUUGCGGGGAAACAGGACUGUUACUUUGACAAAAUUAGAGUGUUUAAAGCAAGCUAACGCUUGAAUACAUUAGCAUGGAAUAAUGAAAUAGGACGAUCGAUCCUAUUUUGUUGGUUGGUAGGAUUGACGUA
rnacentral:rRNA from 1 species